UCCGAAUUGGUGUAGUGGUUCGCAUACCUCGCUCUCAACAAGUGAUCGCCGAGGCGACCCGGGUUCGAUUCCCGGAUUCGGAA